GUUGCGGUGGCCGAGUGGUUAAGGCGUUAGACUUUAAAUCCAAUGGGGUCUUCACGCGCAGGUUCGUACCCUGCCCGCAACG
rfam:Nematostella vectensis strain CH2 x CH6 NEMVEscaffold_380_Cont25564, whole genome shotgun sequence.